rnacentral:tRNA from 1 species
GCGUUCGUGGUGUAAUGGUCAGCACACUGAGCCGGUAUUUCAGAGGUCCGCGGUUCGAUCCCCGGCGAAGGCG